rnacentral:rRNA from 1 species
UGGGGAAUAUUGCACAAUGGGGGAAACCCUGAUGCAGCGACGCCGCGUGAGCGAAGAAGGCUUUCGAGUCGUAAAGCUCUGUCCUAUGAGAAGAUAAUGACGGUAUCAUAGGAGGAAGCCCUGGCUAAAUACGUGCCAGCAGCCGCGGUAAUACGUAUGGGGCGAGCGUUGUCCGGAAUUAUUGGGCGUAAAGGGUACGUAGGCGGUUUAGAAAGUCUGAUGUGAAAGCCCACGGCUCAACCGUGGAGGGUCAUUGGAAACUAAUAAACUUGAGUGCAGGAGAGAAAAGUGGAAUUCCUAGUGUAGCGGUGAAAUGCGUAGAGAUUAGGAGGAACACCGGUGGCGAAAGCGGCUUUUUGGCCUGCAACUGACACUGAGGCGCGAAAGCGUGGGGAGCAAACAGG